UACGUAGGGUGCGAGCGUUAAUCGGAAUUACUGGGCGUAAAGCGUGCGUAGGCGGUUUUGUAAGCCAGAUGUGAAAUCCCCGGGCUCAACCUGGGAAUGGCAUUUGGGACUGCAAGGCUGGAGUACGGCAGAGGAGACUGGAAUUCCUGGUGUAGCAGUGAAAUUCGUAGAUAUUCGGAAGAACACCAGUGGCGAAGGCGGCUCACUGGUCCGGUACUGACGCUGAGGUGCGAAAGCGUGGGGAGCAAACAGG
rnacentral:rRNA from 1 species